rnacentral:rRNA from 1 species
GACGUAGGGGGCCAGCGUUGUUCGGAAUUACUGGGUGUAAAGGGUUCGUAGGCGGUGUGGCAAGUCGGGAGUGAAAUUUCUGGGCUCAACUCAGAGACUGCUUCCGAAACUGCUGUGCUGGAGUGUGGGAGAGGCGCGUGGAAUUGCAGGUGUAGCGGUGAAAUGCGUAGAUAUCUGCAGGAACACCCGUGGCGAAAGCGGCGCGCUGGACCAUAACUGACGCUGAGGCGCGAAAGCUAGGGGAGCAAACAGG